CGGAGAGUUUGAUCCUGGCUCAGAACGAACGCUGGCGGCAGGCCUCAUACAUGCAAGUCGAGCGAUUAAAGCUCCUUCGGGAGUGUAUAAAGCGGCGAACGGGUGAGUAACAGGUGGAUGAUCUGCCUCCCGGUGGGGGAUAACGGCUGGAAACGGCCGCUAAUACCGCAUUCGGUUGCUGCGUUGCGACGCAGCAAAGAAAGGCGCUUCACGGCGUCGCCGGGAGAUGAGUCCGCCCCCCAUUAGCUAGUUGGCGGGAUAAUAGCCCACCAAGGCUGCGAUGGGUAGCCGAGCUGAGAGGUUGAUCGGCCACACUGGAACUGAGACACGGUCCAGACACCUACGGGUGGCAGCAGUAGGGAAUAUUGGACAAUGGGCGAAAGCCUGAUCCAGCCAUGCCGCGUGAGCGAAGACGGCCCUUGGGUUGUAAAGCUCUUUUCUGAGGGAAGAAUAUCCGGGGUAGGAAAUGCCCCCGGCUUGACGGUACCUCAGGAAUAAGGAACGGCUAACUCCGUGCCAGCAGCCGCGGUAAUACGGAGGUUCCAAGCG
rnacentral:rRNA from 1 species